UGGAGUAAAGGCCUAUGCACACCCUAGAUACUCUCUAGCUUGAAAGUCCAGUUCCCUGAGAAUAGCAAGUACCACAGACCAACUUAGGAAACCUGACCCAGAAAAGUACUACAGCCACCCAUGGAAUCCAAGGCCUGGCCCAUAACUAAUUCUAGUAAGGAGGAGCCAAUAGAGCAUCAAGAGCUACUUCCGUUUGUGCUGCUGGACCAGUCACAAGACAUCCUGGAGGAAGAGGCCCCAGGUGCCAGCCUGUGGCCCGCCACUGUGACCUUCCUCACCCUCUUCCUACUGAGCUUGUUCUACAGUACAGCACUCACUGUUACAACCGUGCGAGGCCCGUUUGCCAGCAAAGAGGUCCCCCAGUACUGACCAGGAGCCAGCCACAGGAGACUGUCAUGGAGAUGAUGCCGUACAGGGCUGGGGCAGGGGCAUUCAGGAUUUACUCAGCCCCUCCACAUGUGUCCUUGCAACUCUUCACAGACAUUUAGGAAGCGUAAAGUAAUGAUGGCAGCACUUCCUGGAUCUAACCCAGUCUUCCAGAAGCCAGGCUGGGAACUCCGCCAAAGUGAAGAUGUAACCCAACUCCAGGAUACCCUCUGGCUGGUCGCUCUUGUCUUUGCAGGGAUGAAGCUCGGAGAAAGUCCUCUAUGCUUCAGAGCUAAGACCAAUGUGACAACUUCCCACCCCACGCACUUACUUUCCUGAGCAAUAAAUUGAUGCAAAAGCACAAUUUCUUACUCGGAAAAAAAAAAACAUUAACAAAGAAUUGGGGGAGGUGGAGGGGAUGGUGUGUUGGUGGGAUGCUAAAUAGUUUCUUACAUCAUAGAAUGUGUCUGUGUUGGCAGAGUAGACACAGAUUGCCCACUGUCUAGUGUCUGAGCCAUAACUUGAGCAUAUGUGUAGCCGCAGCCAAAGAUGAACACCAGCCUUGACAGGUGAUGGUGUUUGUGGCCUCUUUAGACCGCAUACCAGGUCAUUAAGCUUGACCUCUGGACCUGAUUUCUAAACAUUUGGCCUCUGUGAGCACCCUUGGCAAAUACUGAACCCUGGUCCUGGCUAGGAACCUUAGUCCUGAUCACUGAGCCCUAUUUUGGUAACUGAACCGUGAUCCUGAUCCCUGACUUCAGUCAUAAUCACGAGGCCCUGGUCCUGACCACUCAUAACUGGUCCCUAGUCCUGAGCCCUGUGCCUGGAUCUGGGUCAUUGAUUCCUGGUCAUGAUCACUGGAUUUGGUCCUCAUUACUGAGCCUAGAAUUGAUCACUGAUGACUGGUUUUGAUCAUUAACAACUAACCUGAUCACUAGUCCCUGCUUCUAACCACUCGGCCGAGAUACUGGUCACUGGGUCCUGACCUGAUCAUAGACCCCCCUGAUCCUGAUCACUAAAUCCUAUUUCUAAACAAUAUAUAGUGAAAUGUAUAGAAAAGUGUUUGUGUGGUCUGACUUUGAGUGAAAUGUUUCAGCAGAACUUUUGCUAUGUUUGGGUUAAUUCGUUGAGGCUGAGAAAUGGUUUUGAGGCUGUUUGAACCUUGAAGAAAUGUCUCUCUGGACAAUCUGCACAUGAGAGUUUGCAGCCACACAAGCCUUGGUCCUAAAACACUCCUAGAAAAAUUACAAUUCUUACUUUUGACUAUAGCUAGACUUGUGUGGGUGGCCUACUCUCUCUCAAAGCAAGGGCAAGAUAACUUUUGUAGUUGGAACCUUUCCCAGCCCCAAUUGACUCUAUAUGAUGUUUGAAUAAAGUAGCUGCAGUGAA